rnacentral:rRNA from 1 species
UAGGGAAUCUUCGGCAAUGGGGGGAACCCUGACCGAGCAACGCCGCGUGAGUGAAGAAGGUUUUCGGAUCGUAAAGCUCUGUUGUUAAGGAAGAACGAGUGUGAGAAUGGAAAGUUCAUACUGUGACGGUACUUAACCAGAAAGGGACGGCUAACUACGUGCCAGCAGCCGCGGUAAUACGUAGGUCCCGAGCGUUGUCCGGAUUUAUUGGGCGUAAAGCGAGCGCAGGCGGUUAGAUAAGUCUGAAGUUAAAGGCAGUGGCUCAACCAUUGUAGGCUUUGGAAACUGUGUAACUUGAGUGCAGAAGGGGGGAGUGGAAUUCCAUGUGUAGCGGGGAAAUGCGUAGAUAUAUGGAGGAACACCGGUGGCGAAAGCGGCUCUCUGGUCUGUAACUGACGCUGAGGCUCGAAAGCGUGGGGAGCGAACAGG